AAAAUUAAAUGUAAAAUGUAUUAAUAGACAUUAUAGUAUUGACAUUUUUAAUGAAAAUUAAAUAAUCCUACAAUUGAAAGUAUGUAAACUUAUUUUAUUUAAGAGUAUGAAUGUGUAAAACCUUAAUCCACCCUCUCCCCCCACCCCGAAAUAUUUGUUUAGUAAUGCAUCUGGACUGUAGUCGUGGUAGAUCCAAUACCUACCACGUGUCGGUAACCGUGAACCAGGGUUCAAUUCCGGAGAGGGAGCUUGAGAAACGGCUACAGUACCCAAGGAUGGUAGCAGACGUGCAAAUCACCCACUUCCGGAAUGAGAAGGUAGUGA